rnacentral:rRNA from 1 species
GGGAAUGCGGCGUGCUAUACAUGCAGUCGAACGCACAGCGAAAGGUGCUUGCACCUUUCAAGUGAGUGGCGAACGGGUGAGUAACACGUGGACAACCUGCCUCAAGGCUGGGGAUAACAUUUGGAAACAGAUGCUAAUACCGAAUAAAACUUAGUGUCGCAUGACACAAAGUUAAAAGGCGCUUCGGCGUCACCUAGAGAUGGAUCCGCGGUGCAUUAGUUAGUUGGUGGGGUAAAGGCCUACCAAGACAAUGAUGCAUAGCCGAGUUGAGAGACUGAUCGGCCACAUUGGGACUGAGACACGGCCCAAACUCCUACGGGAGGCUGCAGUAGGGAAUCUUCCACAAUGGGCGAAAGCCUGAUGGAGCAACGCCGCGUGUGUGAUGAAGGCUUUCGGGUCGUAAAGCACUGUUGUAUGGGAAGAACAGCUAGAAUAGGAAAUGAUUUUAGUUUGACGGUACCAUACCAGAAAGGGACGGCUAAAUACGUGCCAGCAGCCGCGGUAAUACGUAUGUCCCGAGCGUUAUCCGGAUUUAUUGGGCGUAAAGCGAGCGCAGACGGUUUAUUAAGUCUGAUGUGAAAGCCCGGAGCUCAACUCCGGAAUGGCAUUGGAAACUGGUUAACUUGAGUGCAGUAGAGGUAAGUGGAACUCCAUGUGUAGCGGUGGAAUGCGUAGAUAUAUGGAAGACACCAGUGGCGAACGCGGCUUACUGGACUGCAACUGACGUUGA